rnacentral:rRNA from 1 species
CCCUACUGCUAUCGGGAUGGGACUAAGACAUGCGAGUUGUGCGUUUCUAGGCUAUGGUAGAGGCGCAGCAUACGGCUCAGUAACACGUGGCUAACCUGCCCUCAGGACGGGGACAACCCCGGGAAACUGGGGCUAAUACCCGAUAGGUGAGGAGGCCUGGAAUGGUUCUUCGCCUAAAGGGCGUUGAGACCAUGCUUUUCAACGCUGCCUGAGGAUGGGGCCGCGCCCGAUCAGGUUGUUGGUGAGGUAAUGGCUCACCAAGCCUAUAACCGGUACGGGCCGUGAGAGCGGGAGCCCGGAGAUGGGCACUGAGACAAGGGCCCAGGCCCUACGGGGCGCAGCAGUCGCGAAAACUCCGCAAUGCGCGAAAGCGUGACGGGGCUACCCCGAGUGCCGUCCGCUGAGGAUGGCUUUUUCCCGGUGUAAUGAGCCGGGGGAAUAAGGAGAGGGCAAGACUGGUGUCAGCCGCCGCGGUAAUACCAGCUCUCCGAGUGGUAGGGACGAUUAUUGGGCUUAAAGCGUCCGUAGCCGGCUUAGCAAGUCUUCUGUUAAAUUCAGCGACCCAAUCGUUGAGCCGCGGAAGAUACUGUUAGGCUAGGAGGCGGAAGAGGCCGACGGUAUUCUCGGGGUAGGGGUGAAAUCCUAUAAUCCCGGGAGGACCACCAGUGGCGAAGGCUGUCGGCUAGAACGCGCUCGACGGUGAGGGACGAAAGCUGGGGGAGCGAACCGGAUUAGAUACCCGGGUAGUCCCAGCUGUAAACGAUGCGGGCUAGGUGUUGGGGUGGCUACGAGCCACUUCAGUGCCGCAGGGAAGCCAUUAAGCCCGCCGCCUGGGGAGUACGGCCGCAAGGCUGAAACUUAAAGGAAUUGGCGGGGGAGCACCACAAGGCGUGAAGCUUG